AACUAAAACUAAAUUGAAGGACCUUUAUUGCUGGUUCUACAUUCUAUAAAGGACUUUAAUAGUGAUUCCUACUAAUAAAACAAGGAGAGCAUUCAACAUGGAUAUAGUUCAUGAUAUGACCAAUGCAAAUGUGACUUAUAACGCGACCAUAAAGGACGUAUCAACCAGCAGUGACCUGGUUUUGAAAUGGACAUCAUUCCUCAUUUUUCUUGGAAUUAUAUGUUUUAACACUGUAGUUAUUGUAUUAUUACAUAUUGGAGACAGAAAGUCAAGAAUGGGAUUUUUUGUU